rnacentral:rRNA from 1 species
GAUGAACGCUAGCGGCAGGCUUAACACAUGCAAGUCGAGGGGUAACAGGGAGUGCUUGCACUCUGCUGACGACCGGCGCACGGGUGCGUAACGCGUAUGCAACCUACCUUUUACAGGGGGAUAGUCAAGAGAAAUUUUGAAUAAUACCCCAUACGAUCCUGAUAUCACCUGAUAUUUGGAAGAAAACUUCGGUGGUAAAAGAUGGGCAUGCGUCCUAUUAGUUAGUUGGUGAGGUAACGGCUCACCAAGACAGCGAUAGGUAGGGGUCCUGAGAGGGAGAUCCCCCACACUGGUACUGAGACACGGACCAGACUCCUACGGGAGGCAGCAGUGAGGAAUAUUGGACAAUGGAGGCAACUCUGAUCCAGCCAUGCCGCGUGCAGGAAGACUGCCCUAUGGGUUGUAAACUGCUUUUAUACAGGAAGAAACCUACUUACGUGUAAGUAGCUGACGGUACUGUACGAAUAAGGAUCGGCUAACUCCG